rnacentral:rRNA from 1 species
AUUGAACGCUGGCGGCAUGCCUAACACAUGCAAGUCGAACGGUAACAGGUCUAGCUUGCUAGAUGCUGACGAGUGGCGGACGGGUGAGUAACGCGUAGGAAUCUGCCCUCUAGUUCAGGACAACCCGGGGAAACUCGGGCUAAUACUGGAUACCCUCUAAGGAGGAAAGUGUGGGACCUUAGGGCCACAUGCUGGAGGAUGAGCCUGCGUUGGAUUAGCUUGUUGGUGGGGUAAAGGCCUACCAAGGCGACGAUCCAUAGCUGUUCUGAGAGGAAGAUCAGCCACACUGGGACUGAGACACGGCCCAG